UAAAUCCAUUUAGAGCAGUGGUGUUUCAAGAUUUAGCAAGAGGUAAUAAUGCUACUAAUACAAGGAACAGAGUUAUCAGGAACAAAAUCUGGGCUUAGAUUAUGUGUGUUACUGUUUGGAGGAGGGGAGUUGUAUUAUUCAUUAUUUUUGCUUUCAUUAUAAUUAUUUGAUCCUCAACAGAAUAACAAUGAAGAGAUAUAUUGAUAAUCUGGAAGAUUCUCAAAUUGUCUCUCUCCUGUCCAUCCCCACUGUAACCUCCAUGGCUUAUUUCAAAAUUUAAUGUAUCAUUAGGAAUCUAUCCUUUGGUUUUAAUUUACUAAAAACACUAUCUUUGAAAUCACAAACUUAAAAAGGAAUUAUUUACCUCAGGAUUUAUCCAUUUGGAAAGACAAUUGGGAAGUUUUCUGAGGGCACCCAAAAAGAUAAAGUGAGGGCUUAGGUUGGUCGGCAUGGGGUGAAAACAAAUUAUAGUGAGAGGUGACAGCGUGCUGGCACUCCUCACACCCCUCACUCGCUCUUGGCGCCUCCUCUGCCUGGGCUCCCACUUUGGUGGCACUUGAGGAGGCCUUCAGCCCACGGCUGCACUGUGAGAG
rnacentral:lncRNA from 1 species